UACAGAGGGGGCAAGCGUUAUUCGGAAUUAUUGGGCGUAAAGGGCGCGUAGGCGGCUUGGCAAGUGGAUGGUGAAAUCCCUCGGCUUAACCGAGGAACUGCCGUCCAAACUGCUUCGCUUUGAGACCGGGAGAGGUGAGUGGAAUUCCCAGUGUAGCGGUGAAAUGCGUAGAUAUUAGGAAGAACACCGGUGGCGAAGGCGGCCCACUGGCUCGACACUGACGCUGAGGUGCGAAAGCGUGGGGAGCAAACAGG
rnacentral:rRNA from 1 species